UUUCAGCUGGAGGUUACUGGAAAUCAAGAUGUACCUUCCUUCCCCAGUGCAAGUUCAUGGGUCCCUGAACUGCCCUGUGGGGCCCUGGUGCCGUGUGACGAGGUCUCUCCAAAAUAGUCUAGGUGCCCAGGAGCCCAGACAUGGUCGCAGCCCUGCCACUUAGGGUCAUCAGGAGCAUUGCAGGAGAGGAGUCCGGCACCGCAGUACAUGCUCCGUGGUCGCUAGCCAGUUUGGUCGACGGCCUGGUGUCUUCAUUCUGCUUUCCUGGUCUGAUCCUGUCUCGCUCACAGGCCUGUGCUGAGCCCACAGUUAUUUCUGGAGCACCUGCUAGUUGCCAGACAUAGGGCACCAGGGGAUACACCGGAAAACCAGACAGACAACAAAAGCCUUGCUAUCGUGGAGCUGAUGGUUUAGCAGAGGAGAUGGAUAACAGACACAUAAAGAAGAUAAUUUCAAAUGGGAAAAGUACUAGGAUGGAAACAAAGCAGGGUGUGGUGAUGGAGUGUGAUUUCAGGGGCCCCUUAGGACAGGGCAGUCCAGGAAGUCCUCCCUGACGAAGUGAUAUGUGAGGAGUCAGCAGAGAAAGCAGCUCGUCUGGGGCAGAUAUGGGGAAAGUGCUCCAGGUAAAGUGAGAGGCAAGUGCAAAGGCCCUGGGGACAGAGCAAGUGAGACAGUGAGAGAAGGUGUUGCUGGAAUUCAGUGAACCAGAGAGAGCCUGGUGGGGCUGAGGGGGCUGGGUGUGAAGCAUGCAGCACCGUGCAGGUCACAGAUGGAGAUCCUCUCGGUUCCUUGAGUCACCUGCUCCAAGGAAGCUUCCCUGACGACCCUAGCUAGACUAGCCCAUUUUCGUUCUUCCUCUCAUUGCUAUGUGGCACCACAGUCUCCGUGUACUGAGCGUAUGGGAUAUAUUGUCUUUCUUUCUCCAUAAUUACAAGGUCAGCUGGGCAGAGGGACCCAGAGUCACCUAUUGGCUGCCAUGUGGCACGGAAAAUGUGACCACAGGGACCCAGGCCUGGGUGCCGUCGACGGACGGCAGGGAAAAUAGGUCCUGUGUUUUGUGGAUUGUGGCUUUGCCUCGAUUUUGGUCUCACAAGCCAACUCUGGAACCCAAGCCUUAAAUACAACGAGAUUCUCCCAAAAUGAUGUUAAUAAUCGUGGUUGACUUUCAUUGGAUGCUUGCUGUCUG